rnacentral:lncRNA from 1 species
AAAAUAGUCAUUAAUGGUGGUAGACAAGGAAGGGUAGAAAAGGAAACAAAUAGGUAAAAUAUUCUUAGUUUUGUAAAAUGUCAAAUAUUUUGGGAAGAAAAAAACCUUCUAAAACGUAAAAUAUAAUGGGAUGGAGGGAGUAGCAUUUAUCAUCACACACACAUUAACAACAGAGAGAAAAGUAGAGAAAAAGAGAGAAGAAAG